CUUACAUGGAGAGACUACACAUGUAUGCUACAAAAACAGCAGCCCAAAGCCCAUCAUGCCUGCCGCCACAGAGAAGAACUCCAGGUGCUGGGAAAAAAGACCAGAAAUAUACCAUCCAGGUGCCAGUGGUGAAUUCACAUGCCAGAGAGUAAGAAGUGAUCUUCUUUUAAAUGUGAAGAUGAUUUUGAUCUACAUCAUCAUCGCAACUCCAGCAAUGACCGCUGUGGCACAAGGGUCUUCAGAAUGCAAUCUAACUGAACCUGGACCCCAGACGUGUUUUGGAGUUUUAGGAGAACCACUCGUUUUUUACAUACCUACUAAACCACAUAUGAAGACAAGCUUGAAAAAGAGUACAGAAAAAAUUUUAACCUUAAUAAAUGAUACAUUAAUUAGUCUCAAUGAAAAAUACAAGAAUCGUACUACAGUCUCCACAAAUGGAACAUUGAAGCUCAACAAAGCAACAAAACAUGACUC
ensembl:lncRNA